rnacentral:other from 1 species
GCACGACGGUCUGAUUCGACAAACGAGGCACUCUGUCUCCUAGUUCACCUAUCCAGGGAUCUGCCUCUGUCUUGGGUGUGCAUGCCCGCUCGUCCGGGAAGCCCAAAGGGAUAUGUGGAGCCCACCUACGAUGAUUCGUAGGGGAUAGAACGCCUCACGGUCAGACGGUUCUGCU